AUAUGUAACAAACAGAACGGCUACGUUUGAAGAAGUUUAUUAAAAAAUACCUUUUUUUAAUAAACUUCUUCAAACGUAGCCGUUCUGUUUGUUA